UUUUUUACUAUGUAGCACCGUGGUCCAGCUGAUGGUGUCGCGGUUCUGCUCGGGCGCCAUUGCCUGAAGGUCGCUGUUGCCGGUGACGAGGACAGAUGGGAGGACGCUGCCGCAACGGAUCUGCUCCCCAUUCCCCUCCACCGUCGGUGACCAUGUGCGGGUAUCUCCCGGGAUCCAGGUGUGGUCUCGCCGCCAUGGAUGCCAGAGGAGGAAGAGGCGCUCUUCCAUGUCGGCUACAGGAGAAAGAGGAGGAGGAGGCGCUUCUCCGGCCAGACCCGGAGUCGGGGCCGGCACGCCACAGGCAUCUACGCCUACGACCACGACCACACGCACGGGCUGACGCCGCUGAUGAAGAUGCGUACCCUUAGCCACGAAUUUGUCCCCGAUCCCAUCCAUGCAGGUGGGCUUCGCUGCCAUGGAAUGACACCUCUGAUCUCCCAUGUAGAUGAGCUCGGGUUCAUGGAAGCCAUGUCCAUAAAGCAAACUGAGUGCUUCGAAGUUUUGUAGAAAAGGAAUCGGAAGCUCGGAGAGACCUCGCGUCAAUCAACAGGUUUGACUCCUUUUAGUCUUUGGUUAUUUUCAAAGUGAAAACCCAUGAAAUGUCGGGAUCAAAAUCCCAGGUCAGAUGGAACUAUGGGCAUUCAUGAUUACUGUACAAGUAACCGAUUUCGUGGAGCAUGCUUCUUACUUUCUUGUCUGAAUGCUUAAUAGUAUAUUACCCUUGCAAUGUAAUGGAACCAUAGACUUUAUACCAUUGAGUGUAUGAAACACUGCAUAUAUUUUUCUAUUUUUUACUCAACAACAACCAAUCAGUGUCAAUGAAGGGUCUCUUACAUUUAUUAGCAGUUACGACCAUUUCCGGAGUACAUACAAACCAGAAAAGUGGAAGCAAAACAAAAUUUGGAUCACAUUUUAGAUCUGUUGUUGAAAACAAAGUUUCUAUCAGGAUUUAGAUAUGUUAUUUCCUUGUUCUAAUCAGCAUAAACUGAAUUCUCUUAUCUGAUUGCAAAUUAUCAUCAAACUGUGGUGUUUCAUCGAGGAUGAUCUUUAUCAACAAUGAGGAGGAUUUGCAAAAUAUGAGAUUUCAAAUGGCUUGAAUAGGAAGAGAUGCAGAUCAUUAUUCUGGACAGUUUUAAUCAAGGACAAUUGAAGCCUAUUGAUUUUGAAUCGUUGACACAUGGUUUGCUUGAGACAAGCGAAGCUGCCAAGGUGAUUUGUACACCUAAACUGCUUCAAGUAUUUGCCUGAUUUGCAUGGCAAGAAUAGUAGGAUUAUACAGGUUAAUGUCAAGGGCUUGAAACGUGUGAGGGAAGUAAACAUGGAUCUGAUGGUGAUGGGAAUCUUUCUUAUAAAGAAAGAUACAUAGGGUGUAUUAUCUGGUGCAUAUUAGAUAAUCAAAGUUGAUGCAUAUGUUACAGAUCUUCCCCGCGAGGCGCUACAGAUCACAUGGGCACUGUCAUGAAGGCCGCGAAGGCGUGGCCGGCGGCAUGGGUUAGCCUGUGGGUGGUACCACCAUGCUGCUCUCGACAUGCAUUGUGGUGCUGCUCGUGGCGGCUUUCGGAGGGAGACAAAGUGCAGAACAUAGAGAAUUUGGGAGCUCCUCGGGUUUGGAUCAGCAAGCCAUGUCCGUUUGGUUUGGCAAAGGAAGGCCUUUUAUCCUUUUUCUAGAAUGCCAUGAACAUCUCUGAAUUUUCACACUGGUUCCGACCGAUGGUUAAUAUUUUUUUGAACAUAUUUGUGACUGGAGCCCACACAUACAUAGUCAUGGAUCUGAUUUUGUGUUUUGGACCUUGCUAUUUCACUGAUUUGGAACAUGUAUAUGCAGUUCUAGGCUUCUAGCUAGAUGGAUUAAUAGAUAUGUUGGACCUAUGCAUUUUAUAUUACCCGCAUGGAUCUAUGUUUAUUAUUUGAUGCUCCUCCUUAUCCUGGAGAAGAAUUUUUGCAAACAGUUGUCAUAUUUGGAGA